UACGUAGGGUGCGAGCGUUGUCCGGAAUUAUUGGGCGUAAAGAGCUUGUAGGCGGUUUGCCGCGUCUGCUGUGAAAAUCCGGGGCUCAACCCCGGACUUGCAGUGGGUACGGGCAGACUGGAGUGUGGUAGGGGAGACUGGAAUUCCUGGUGUAGCGGUGAAAUUCGUAGAUAUCAGGAGGAACACCGGUGGCGAAAGCGGCUUCCUGGCCCGACAUUGACGCUCAUGUACGAAAGCGUGGGGAGCAAACAGG
rnacentral:rRNA from 1 species